CAGCCGUAAACAAUGCGCGUUAGGUGUGUCGGUAACCACGCGUUACUGAUGCGCCGAAGAGAAAUCGUGAAACGCACCACCUGGGAAGUACGGUCGCAAGGCUGAAACUUAAAGGAAUUGGCGGGGGAGCACCACAACAGGUGGAGCCUGCGGUUUAAUUGGAUUCAACGCCGGACAUCUCACCGGAUAAGACAGCUGAAUGAUUGUCAAUCUGAAGGUUUUACAUGACUAGCUGAGAGGAGGUGCAUGGCGUCAGUGACU
rnacentral:rRNA from 1 species